CAGGCCUAACACAUGCAAGUCGUACGGGCACCUUCGGGUGUCACUGGCAGACGGGUGAGUAACACGUGGGAACGUGCCCUUCGGUUCGGAAUAACUCAGGGAAACUUGAGCUAAUACCGGAUACGCCCUUACGGGGAAAGGUUUACUGCCGAAGGAUCGGCCCGCGUCUGAUUAGCUAGUUGGUGGGGUAAUGGCAUACCAAGGCGACGAUCAGUAGCUGGUAUGAGAGGAUGAUCAGCCACACUGGGACUGAGACACGGCCCAGACUCAUACGGGAGGCAGCAGUGGGGAAUACUGGACAAUGGGCGCAAGCCUGAUCCAGCCAUGCCGCGUGAGUGAUGAAGGCCUUAGGGUUGUAAAGCUCUCUCGACGGGGACGAUAAUGACGGUACCCGUAGAAGAAGCCCCGGCUAACUUCGUGCCAGCAGCCGCGGUAAU
rnacentral:rRNA from 1 species